AGCGGCAGCACGGGGGCAACCCUGGUGGCGAGCGGCGAACGGGUGAGUAAUACAUCGGAACAUGCCCAGUCGUGGGGGAUAACACUUCGAAAGAAGUGCUAAUACCGCAUACGUCCUGAGGGAGAAAGCGGGGGAUCGCAAGACCUCGCGCGAUUGGAGUGGCCGAUGUCAGAUUAGCUAGUUGGUGGGGUAAAGGCCUACCAAGGCAACGAUCUGUAGCUGGUCUGAGAGGAUGAUCAGCCACACUGGGACUGAGACACGGCCCAGACUCCUACGGGAGGCAGCAGUGGGGAAUUUUGGACAAUGGGGGCAACCCUGAUCCAGCCAUUCCGCGUGAGUGAAGAAGGCCUUCGGGUUGUAAAGCUCUUUCGGCAGGAACGAAACGGUGAGCUCUAACAUAGCUUGCUAAUGACGGUACCUGAAGAAGAAGCACCGGCUAACUACGUGCCAGCAGCCGCGGUAAUACGUAGGGUGCGAGCGUUAAUCGGAAUUACUGGGCGUAAAGCGUGCGCAGGCGGUUGUGUAAGACAGGUGUGAAAUCCCCGGGCUUAACCUGGGAACUGCGCUUGUGACUGCACAGCUAGAGUAUGGCAGAGGGGGGUGGAAUUCCACGUGUAGCAGUGAAAUGCGUAGAGAUGUGGAGGAACACCGAUGGCGAAGGCAGCCCCCUGGGAUAACACUGACGCUCAUGUACGAAAGCGUGGGUAGCAAACAGGAUUAGAUACCCUGGUAGUCCACGCCCUAAACGAUGUCAACUGGUUGUUGGGGGAGUGAAAUCCCUUAGUAACGAAGCUAACGCGU
rnacentral:rRNA from 1 species